rnacentral:rRNA from 1 species
GUUUGAUCCUGGCUCAGAUUGAACGCUGGCGGCAGGCCUAACACAUGCAAGUCGAGCGAGAAAGGUCUUCGGGCUGAGUACAGCGGCGGACGGGUGAGUAACGCGUAGGAAUCUACCUGGUAGUGGGGGACAACAUGGUGAAAACCAUGCUAAUACCGCAUACGCCCUAUGGGGGAAAGCGGGGGACCUUCGGGCCUCGCGCUAUCAGAUGAGCCUGCGUAGGAUUAACUUGUUGGUGAGGUAAAGGCUCACCAAGGCGACGAUCCUUAGCUGGUCUGAGAGGAUGAUCAGCCACACUGGAACUGAGACACGGUCCAGACUCCUACGGGAGGCAGCAGUGGGGAAUAUUGCGCAAUGGGCGAAAGCCUGACGCAGCCAUGCCGCGUGUGUGAAGAAGGCCCUUGGGUUGUAAAGCACUUUCAAUUGGGAAGAAAGGUUGCGUGUUAAUAGCACGUAGCUGUGACGUUACCUUUAGAAGAAGCACCGGCUAACUCCGUG